rnacentral:lncRNA from 1 species
CAUAGAUUUAGUUCUUCUUUAUUCAAUCUGAUAAUCUCUGCCAUUUUAAGUGGAGUAGCUAUGGACUGAAUCAAGUUGAAUAAAAUUCACACUUUAAAGGACUAGCCACUUACGUGAUUGUAUUUGGAGAUGAGGCCUUUGAGUGGCAAUUAGCGUUAAAUGAGGGCAUGAAGCUCUCGUAAAAUUAGCAGCUUUAUCAGAAGAGGCAGAGAGACACUGUGUUCUCUUUAUGAUGUGAGGACAUAACUGGAAGGCAUCUGUCUGCAAGCCAGGAAGAGGGCUGAACUUGUCACCACCUUGAACUUGGACAUUAGCCUCCAAAACUAUCUGGCUGGAGUUUGUAUGAGAGAGAGCAAUGUUUUCAAGUUGUAUUUUGCUUCCCAGCUGCUAUUUGUGCAGUCUACACUGGUGAGAGUUUAAUUAGAAAUCUAUGAAUGUCUAGUGUUGUAGCUUGAAAUUGACUUUUUGCCCCUCAGAAUUGAUUCUUAGUUAAACCUGGUCUUCAGACUGCAAUCUGUCAUUAAGAAAUCAGAGUCAGAAACAAAUAAAGCAAUCUUUAGUCCUAUCAUUCUCUCUUUGUUCUGACUCUACAACUUCAUUCUGUUGAGUAAUAAAAUAGAUCUGAAGUGUUUUCCAUGAUUAUAAUAUUCAAACCAAACAACUAGUUCUCU